GAUGAACGCUGGCGGCGUGCUUAACACAUGCAAGUCGAGCGAACAGACCAGGAGCUUGCUCCUCUCACGUUUGCGGAGGACGGGUGAGACACACGUGGAUAACCCACCUAUCAGACUGGGAUAACUACGGGAAACCGGCGCUAACACCAGAUAAUCUAUUGAUCCGCAUGGUUCAAUAGUGAGAGACGGCUUUGCUGUCACUUAUAGCUGCAUCUGGGCCGCUUUAGCUGGUUGUUAAGGUAACGGCUUACCAAGGCGACUAGGCGUAGCCGACCUGCGAGGGUGAUCGGCCACACGGGAACUGAGACGCGGUCAAGACUCCUGCGGGAGGCAGCAGUAGGGAAUCUUCCGCAGUAGGCGGGAACUUGGCGGAACAACGCGAAGUGAGUGAUGGAGGUCUUGGGAUCGUAAAACUCUGUUAUUAGGGAAGAACAAAUGUGUAAGUAACUAUGCACGUCUUGACGGUACCUAGUCAGGAAGCCACGGCUAACUACGUG
rnacentral:rRNA from 1 species